UGGGGAAUAUUGCACAAUGGGGGAAACCCUGAUGCAGCGACGCCGCGUGGGCGACGAAGCGCUCCGGCGCGUAAAGCCCUGUCAGCAGGGAAGAACAAAGACAGUACCUGACCAAGAAGCCCCGGCUAACUACGUGCC
rnacentral:rRNA from 1 species